rnacentral:RNase_P_RNA from 1 species
AGAAGUGUGGGCAGUCGCUGUUCAUCUUGAAUGAAUAGAGGAAAGUCCAGGCUCGCCCAGACUGCAACGUCUGGAGUGUUUGUGCCUAUCGCAAGGUAGGGCAGUCGGAUCACCGACUGACGGCGGUGAAAUCGGCUACGUUCUUCAGAAUAUGCCGAAAAUAGCCUGAAAGUGCCACAGUGACGAAGCUCUGUCGGAAACGGCAGAGGUGGAACGAGGUAAACCCCGCAAGCGAGCAACCCAAAUUUUGGUAGGGGCACUAUCCGAAGGGAAAUGAACUGGAGGAUAGACGGGAAGGUAUUCCCGUAGAUAGAUGACUGUCACUUCCAUGUACCAGGCUGGCUGCCGUGAUGAGUACGGGAAGUACAAAACCUGGCUUAUAUCACUU